GUAGGGGGCAAGCGUUGUCCGGAUUCAUUGGGCGUAAAGAGCGUGUAGGCGGCCAGGUAGGUCCGUUGUGAAAACUCGAGGCUCAACCUCGAGACGUCGAUGGAAACCAUCUGGCUAGAGUCCGGAAGAGGAGAGUGGAAUUCCUGGUGUAGCGGUGAAAUGCGCAGAUAUCAGGAAGAACACCUAUGGCGAAGGCAGCUCUCUGGGACGGUACUGACGCUGAGACGCGAAAGCGUGGGGAGCGAACAGGAUUAGAUACCCUGGUAGUCCACGCCGUAAACGAUGGGAACUAGGUGUGGGCGGUGUCGACUCCGUCCGUGCCGAAGCUAACGCAUUAAGUUCCCCGCCUGGGGAGUACGGCCGCAAGGCUAAA
rnacentral:rRNA from 1 species